CGCGGCCAGAGCCCAGCGUCCGUGGCCAGAUGCUCUUGGGAGCAGCCGGGGCGGGUAGAAACGGACAAAGGAAGCUCCCGGAUGGCAGGGACAUUGCUUCUCUGCUCAGCGCCGUUCCCGGCCCCCAGCAGGACCUUCAUGAAUGUUCAUCAGCGUUGAACCCGUGAGUGUCUCUCAUAGGGAUGAGGAAGACGCAGGUGGCUCAUAGCAGAGCUGGCAUUCUGACCCAGCUCUCUCUGGAUCUGAAGACACAGUUCUCAAAUAUCAUCUUGAACAUCAGCGAUGGUGAGAUUAGAGGAGGAUUUGGGGUCGCAAGGGAGGCUGGAGUGAAGGAAGAUGUCAGUGAAUUGUUGCUAGCCUGGAGUCUCCAGAAAUCCAAAUCCAGCA